AUCCUUUUGUAGUUUAUAAGCGUGAUGAUUGGGGUUUCAUGUGCGUGUGUGAAAUGUGCCUUGUUAUGACCUCAUUGGAACAUUACCCCUUUGACU
ensembl:snoRNA